rnacentral:rRNA from 1 species
CCUACGGGGGGCAGCAGUGAGGAAUAUUGGUCAAUGGCCGGAAGACUGAACCAGCCAAGUCGCGUGAGGGACGAAUGCCCAAUGGAUUGUAAACCUCUUUUAUCAGGGAAGAAUAAAUGCUACGUGUAGCAUGAUGCCUGUACCUUAAGAAUAAGCAUCGGCUAACUCCGUGCCAGCAGCCGCGGUAAUACGGAGGAUGCGAGCGUUAUCCGGAUUUAUUGGGUUUAAAGGGUGCGCAGGCGGUUUUUUAAGUCAGCGGUUAAAAGUCGGGGCUUCACC